CGCCGCAGUGGGCUGCCGAGCGCCUCGCCACCGCCUCCCGCAGCCCCGCCGCCGCGGAAGGGAACCUCCGCCCGCUCCGCCCGCACCUGCGGCGCCGGGAGGGUCCCCGUCCCGCCCGUUCGCUGCCGGGGUCUCGCCGUGCGGGCGCGGGGCGCGGCAUGAGGCGCUGAAGGGGCUGCGGCGGCCGGAGGCGCGUCCCACCGCGCGGGAGAGGCGCCGCCACCCCUCGGCUGCCUCUGUAUGUUUGAAUCUAUGCUUUUUGCUCGCUUUUGGAGAGAAAUGAUCAAUCUGACUGGCUAGCAACAUUUUGUUACUGCUGCAUUCUGAUGAGAAAAUGAGAUGCACUCUUUGCGCUACCGCAUGGGAUCAUCUAUAGCUCUGCAGAGGGAGAGGUCAGUGAGGUACAGCAAUCAUGGACUGCGUGUUUGGAGAUGAGGUGAUUCUCAGUAGUUAUGAACAGAGCAGGUAAAUAUCCAGGUUUUGCUAAUGCUUCCUCUGUAUUUUCAUUGCUCUUAGAAAGCUGACAUUAUUAGUGUUUUUCAGGUGCGUGGCACUUCAGUUUCUUUAAAAUUGAGAAAUUCUUUAAAUAUUAAUGGCUUUAAGCACAAGUUAUGUUAACGAAGCCGUUAUGCCUUUUGGGUUUAAGUAUCAUUCAUUUUAGUAAACCACUUCUUGUGAGUAAUCACGAGCAGCUGUUGGUUUUGCUGCAAGAGUUUGAUGCGUAAAUGAAAGAAAUAGCGAAUAUUUGCCUCAGUCACAUUAAAACACAGAGAUAGUUUUCUGUAAGCACACCUUUCCUAGGCUUUGCUGUGCUAAUAUUUAUUCCCAAAUUCAAAUACUGUGGUAUCCUGAAUGUACUAAAUGUUUAGCUUUCACUGUGACUUUUGACUUUUUAAUAUGCUUUUUUGAGGUUUGUUGAAUCCGUUCAUUCUAAAAGUUUCUGAAAUGUUUCUUCUCGAAAAAAAAAAACCUUAAAGGUAUUAUUCUAAUCAUAUUUAAUCUUACAACUGAUUUAGCUUUCUACUGUUCAGCUGUUUUCAAUAUGGAAAGAGUAAUUUUAAUGACAAAGGUGCUGUAAGUUAUCUUCUCUGAUUUGUUUGUCCUCUGGAAGAUUUACAGUGUCUGUCUCCAGCUUGAAGUAACCCAAAUUGCAGGAGGGCACUGUGUGCUGAGGUAUAUCAGCUGCACGACUAUGUGUACCUUUUACUGACGGGGGGAGACUCUCCUGCCUGGGCAGUGUAAUUUUGCAAAGGAGGAAAUGAAUGCCUGAGGUUGUGAUGAACAAAGCAGUUGUUUAAGGUAAGAUGUUGUCCCUUCCAUAGAGCCCAGCCCAGCCAAGCAGGCUGGACCGAGGGAUAGAAGUAUUUGUUGCCGUGCCUACCUGCACCGUUCAGAAACAACUCUAUUUCAGAGAUGUCUCAAAACAGUUGGAGUGUUUCCUGUUGCACCAAGUUCCUUACGGAGUUCUGCUGUAUGAGUUCUGUAGUACCAGAAAGGUGGUAUUUUCCGUUUUGUGCUGUUGUAGAGCUGUAGUGUAUAUCCCCCUACACUAAUGGAUCCUUGAAUCGUGGAGUGGUUUGGGUUGGAAGGGCCCUUAAAGCCCAUCCAGUCGCACCCCCUGUGACGGGCAGGGCCACCUCCCACUGGAUCAGGGGCUCCAAGCCCCAUCCAGCCUGGCCUUGAACCCCUCCAGGGAUGGGGCAACCUAAACAUUUCUUCCUAAGAUGAUAUCUAAAUCUCCCCUCUUUCAUCUUGAAACUGUUCCUCUUUAUCCUAUCACUGUGCUUCUAAGCUUUCCUGUAGGCAAGAAUGUCUGUCACCCGUUUUUGGCUUCUUUGAACCGGAGCUGCUCUCAUUAUGUAAGAUUUCCUCUCCAAGUUAUGCUGAAAUAUUUGCAAUGGCAGGAAGUUUCUCCAGAAUUUCCAAAGAGGAUUUACUCGCUCUGCUCUCGGUUGACUAAAGUAGCCGCCUUCCAGGGUUUAUUAACAAACAGACCUCUGGCACGGACUGUGCUUCCCUGAGGGAUUUCUGGAAUUGAUAUUCCAGAAUUGAUAUUCCAGAAACUAUGAUAUUCCACAUAACUAUUCAGAUAUUUAAGCAUCUGAAGUAUUUUGAUUGCAGGUUCUCAACAUGCUUUCUGAAUGUUCAGGGCACACCAUACUGUUUGUAAUUAAAAGGUUUCUGUCUGACUUGUGUUUGCAUGAAGAGCUGUGGCUCUGAUCCAGCUCAGAGUUGUGCAGCUGGGAAUGCUGACUGUGCUCAUUUUAUUCUCCCCCAGAAAAUGCAUUUCUUUUUUUUUUCUCCCCUGUUUUAAGCUUUGCCUCUCAUUAAGUUGGAAGGGAGGGUUAAAUGAGAACUCAUAGGCUAAACAAGGACUGUGAAGAAGCUGUACCUAACCCAGGGACCUCCCAAGAAAGGGAACUUUUUGGGUUUUCCCCGUGAUGAUGAAUUUGAUGUGUUUUUUUUUCUUACUACUUUUUUGUGGUUUGUUUUAGUUUUGUUUCUUUUCUUUUUUUGUUUUUUUCCUGGGCAAUAUCUGAAAUGUACGCCUUUGGUGCAUGGACUUGGGAUUACUUUUUACAGUAUUUAUGAUGGUGAGUGCAACUGCGAUGGUAGGUAAAGCUGAAAGUAAUAGCCUUACUGUAAUUUCUUUCUUAUUAAGAAGAAAUUACUCUUUUUAAGAAUAUGGAAACAUAUUCCAUAUUUUUAGGUUAUUACAGGGUGAUCUAGAUUACUCUAAAGCCAGAAGGUACGUUCUCCCAUCUCUGCUAUCCUGUCUUCAGCAUUUACGGAUCCUGGUUUAGGCACUUCCAGUACAGACCAUUCUGUUGUCUUGUUUUUGUACUGACACUUAUGCUAUUCAAAUUAUCUUUCUUUUCUCUCCAUUCAAACACAGCUUUGCAACUCCACUGCUGUUAGUAUAAUGUUCAUGGAGUGUGUAUUUGUUUGCCUACACCACGUCCAGACCAAGGUCUAUCUGCACUCGUGUGGAACUCUUCCCACAGACGAACAUGCCCUGUUCUGCAUCUCUUCACAGGAUGUUUGUGGUGCUGUUGUCAGUAGGUAAAUAUCCAGGUAAAUAUUGUCCUUAAUUACCAAGUGCUGAUUUUCUCAAUCAGCCAAAAUACCAUUUUCUAAAUAACUUCCAUUGAAGUCUACUUGAUCUCUCUGGGCUUGAGCCUAUCUGGUAUUGCUGGAUGUGGAGUUGGAAAUAUUUUUCCUAGUUUAAAAAACAAAACAAAACAAAACCAUUUAUCCUUCCAAGUGUACAGUUGUAAAAAUAUAACAGCAGUUAACUAAGGCAUCAUCACGGUCUCAGCUGCUUCUGUCCCUUUGUUUGUGGCCUUCCCUUUGCAUUCUGUAAUUCUCUAAAAGGAGCAGACAGCAGCUCAUAAAGUAGUUGCCAUGAGUGACAACGGAGAGUACUGUUAUUUUUGCUUUUGAGGAUACCAGAUGGGAAUUAUGAAAAGUGUAGUUAACUGGAGCCUCCCGAAGCCAUGCACAUUGGAAGGGAAAGAGAUCAUGUACGCUUCAUCUGCUCUUAGAUUUUAGUCCUCUAGAAUUUUGGAUAAUUUUGAUAUGGGAUGAUUUGGUCUCUUGAACCUUUAUUCAUUAAUUCAAUUUUAAAAGUUGUCAUUCUGAAUGGGCCACUACAGAUGAUAUUUUGUGCAGUAGUUCUAAUACUGAAUCUUAGUGUUCAUCUGAUAUUCGGUAGAAAAACUUGUACUGGAUCUGCCGUUCUGAAGCUUCUUUUGAUCUCUUGAACAUCAAAUGUAUCAUUAUAUACCAAGUUAAGAAAUGGAUCUUUCCAGGCUGAUAAAGUGAACAAAAGUUGUAAAAUAUCUGCUAUCAUUUACUAGAUAUUAUCAUCCCAUAAUGUUCUAGAAUAUAUUUUUCUGGAUGCAUCGUUAAUAGUCAUUAGGCUUAGUAUGAGCAAUUACACUGUAAACGGUGGUGAUAAUUUUCAGGAUUAAUAUUGUAAAAUUAGCCAUAGUUUGGGAUGUUAUUUUGAACAUAUGAAAAACUAUAAUGAAACUGCGUAUUUAAUCAGUUUAUGCCGUCAAAAAUUGGAAGGAGCAAGAAAUGCUUUACAGUUGGUGGGGAUUUAAAGCUAUAGAAACAGCAAAACAAAACUGAUAACAUAGAUUAUUUAUUUUAAAGUUAUAUUAUUAUUUAUUGUAAGUUUUUGGUUUGCUUUAAUUACAUUUGGUUUACUUUGGGAUUAUUAACAUCUCUUUCAGAAGGCGAUUGAUCAUUCAAGGGAGAGUUUGUGUGACUCAAAUGAUUUUAAGCGUAACCUUUAUAGAUAAAACUGUCACACGUUAAAAGAAAACUGAAAGAGGGAUGACAUAAAAGCAGUGACCAAAAAAAGCCUCUUUUCCUAAUUUUAUAGUAAUGUACCUGCAGUUCUGAAAAUUAGAAGUUCCAACAAAUUAAGUUAUACUUAAAUGCAUUUAAUAUUUCCUGUUUUGAUAGAAAUAUAUUUUGUUCUAACCCCUUAGAGCUGAUUUAAGAUACAGUCUUCAGAAAGUGUUGAAAAGCAGUUAAUUACAUUUGUGUUUAACUCUACAUGUUUCAAUGAACAUCAGCUCUGCUUUAGUGGAAGAUACUACUGGAAUUCUUUUGUUGGGUUCAGCCAUGACAAGACAUAAUAGUAUUUCUCUUGCUAGUUUAAAACAUUUUAUGUGUGUGUGUGUGUGUGUGUGUGUGUAUAAAAUCAUUUUCUUGCAGAGGUUUAUUAGUGUUCUGGUAGUCCUGUUUUCACUUGGUAGAACCAUAGAUAUAGCAAAUAAGACCAUGGGUGCUUAAUGCGGAUGUUACUGCGUUUAUUGUUAAAGUAUCACUCUGUUUAACCAUACUGGGUUAAAAUAGACUUUAAAAAUGCUGUGCUUUAUAUUUGGUGAGGAAAUUAAAGCAUUUGAUCUUACUCUAACAAAAAAUCUGGAACUUAAUCUGCUCAAUGUGUGAAAUUUAUUCAUGUUAACUCCUUCUGGUUUGGAUCAGCAAGUACACCAGUACAUUAGAAGAACCGCUUUGGUAAAGUUAAACUCGGCAGUGCCGGAGGAUCUCUCAUUUUUUGUUUGACUGUAUCGGUGUAAUUCAGUGUGGAACUUUGAUUAUUGUUUAAGUUGUAGUUAGGACAACUACAACGGCCUCCAACGGCCGGCUUCUGCCACCCGAAGGUCGGUUGCUGGUGGGCCGUGGGCGCAGGUUAUAGCGCUGCUGUGGGGGGCGGCUGCGAGCUGUUUCCAUGGCCAUCGUCCUGCGCAGGCGUGCUGGCAAGCCAAGCACGUACUCCUCAUAGCUGCCACCUUCCUGCACGGAGUGCAGCAGGACCUCCAAGGGCUGCCGGCAGAUGGGGCAA